GAUGAACGCUGGCGGCGUGCCUAAUGCAUGCAAGUCGAGCGAACAGACGAGGAGCUUGCUCCUUUGACGUUAGCGGCGGACGGGUGAGUAACACGUGGGUAACCUACCUAUAAGACUGGGAUAACUUCGGGAAACCGGAGCUAAUACCGGAUAAUAUUUCGAACCGCAUGGUUCGAUAGUGAAAGAUGGCUUUGCUAUCACUUAUAGAUGGACCUGCGCCGUAUUAGCUAGUUGGUAAGGUAACGGCUUACCAAGGCAACGAUACGUAGCCGACCUGAGAGGGUGAUCGGCCACACUGGAACUGAGACACGGUCCAGACUCCUACGGGAGGCAGCAGUAGGGAAUCUUCCGCAAUGGGCGAAAGCCUGACGGAGCAACGCCGCGUGAGUGAUGAAGGUCUUCGGAUCGUAAAACUCUGUUAUUAGGGAAGAAUAAACGUGUAAGUAACUGUGCACGUCUUGACGGUACCUAAUCAGAAAGCCACGGCUAACUACGUG
rnacentral:rRNA from 1 species